rnacentral:misc_RNA from 1 species
GAUGAAGAACGUAGCGAAAUGCGAUAAGUAGUGUGAAUUGCAGAAUUCAGUGAAUCAUCGAAUCUUUGAACGCACAUUGCGCCCUUUGGUAUUCCAAAGGGCAUGCCUGUUCGAGCGUCAUUUAUACCCUCAAGCUUUGCUUGGUGUUGGGCGUCUUGUCUCUAGCUUUGCUGGAGACUCGCCUUAAAGUAAUUGGCAGCCGGCCUACUGGUUUCGGAGCGCAGCACAAGUCGCACUCUCUAUCAGCAAAGGUCUAGCAUCCAUUAAGCCUUUUUUUCAACUUUUGACCUCGGAUCAGGUAGGGAUACCCGCUGAACUUAAGCAUAUCAAUAAGCGGAGGA